UCUUCCCCAAAUCCCAAGCCCUUAUUUCUCCUAUUGGGGUACCAAAUCCCCACCUCUUUCCAUUGGGAUACCAAAUCCCUAAUUUCUUCCACUGUUAAAUCUCCCUCUCCCAUACUCCCAAUCGUUUCCAGCUCUAUCGCCUGCUGGUCGUCGCCUUCGCCGCCUCAACGCAGCCGUGACCUCUAGCUCAUUACAUCUGCCUCCUCAAUGCCACCGCUAUCGCCUUCUUGAUCGCUGCCUCUACGCUUGCCGUGUCCAUCUCCCAUCGUUUAUUGGUCGUCUCCUCCGCCGCGACUUCCAGCCCAUUGCAUCGCCUCCGCAAUUCCGUCGCUGCCUCCUCAAUGCCGCAACCGCCUCUUGCUCCAUCGCUGUUAACUAGUAAUAUGAAAUAGACAAAGACAAGAAGGAAGGCUCAAAAAUUGGUAAACAUGUCUUCAUACCUCCAGGCAAGCCUUAGUAAAGAAAGUUGGACAAUCGAUGCCUCUGAAUGGACUUUCUAGUCUAGUGGUUGCAAGACCCUCUUCAAGAGAUUUGUUGUUGGGUUUAUUUGUUAAAUAAAAUAAUUUCUUUUAUUUUAAAUUUUGUUUUAGCUCAUUUAGUUUAUGUGAGUUAGUUUUAGCUUAUGGAAGGAGAAAUAACAUAUUUGUUUUUGUUUAAAUGAUUCAAUAUCAUUAACUUAUUUAAAGUAAUUAUCAAUUAUUGAGU